AAAAAAAAAAAAAAAAAAAACCAUCAGUUGGGAUAUGAUAUUUGGUUCUAUGUUUGUUUUGGCGAAAUGGUUUCCUUUGCCGAUUACUAAUCGGGCGCUCUCUUUCAAUUUCGAGAGGGAGUGUAGGAG
rnacentral:ribozyme from 1 species